rnacentral:lncRNA from 1 species
GUAUGCAAUUACAGAAAGUUAUGUAGAAAUUAAGGCAAUAAAAACUUUAAUUACUGGAGAUUUUUUGUUUGGUUUUUUUCUAGGAACUCCUUCUCCAGAAAUAUGUUUUAUACAGAAAUUUGGUGGCCAGACAUACUGUCAAAAGGAAGACGAGAUAAAUCCAAUACUUCAAGAGGCAUACACAUCUGACCAGUCUCAGUCUCUGCUGCAGGGUUGGAUAAAGCAUUCAUCACCUACUGAAAAUAUUUCUAAGUCUGAUUUUUCACUAAAUGCUGCAGUAGAAGAACAGCAACUUAAUUCUGUAGAUAUCAAAUUGAAUGAAUUUCAAAAGGAUUCAGAAGAAAAUAUUUCACAAAAAUUAAGUAAUGAAGAUCUCUCUCCAGAAGUAAGCCUCUGUCUAGAUGGCCCUGUGGAAGACGUAACAGUUCUAAAUGAACAGACACCAGAAGAUACAUUUCAGCAUGUUUUAGAUGAUUGCCACAGAACCUGUGUGACCACUAUUGACAUUGAUAACAUAGUAGAGGAGCAUUCCCUUAAUAAUGAUACAAAUCUUUCUCUGA